rnacentral:lncRNA from 1 species
UUUCAUUUGCCACGUGAAUAGCGUGGGCAUCAGAGGCGGUUGUUUCCCUCGAUGCUCAGCCUGCUGCCAACAGGAGGCCGUUUCCCAGGGGGAGGGCAAGCUGUGGAUGCGGUGGGCGGUCAGCUGGGCACGGGGGGUCAGGUGCAGCGAUCAGCUCUGGCACAGCAGCACGCUGCCACGGGCAGAACGCACCCAGACCGGCUCCGCUCUGAUAGCGCGGCUCUCCCCACGCUGCUGUCCCUGCAGCCCGCUGUGGGCUCGGGUCCCCCCUCGCCUGUGCUGACACGGCCGCAGCAACCCAUCCCUCGCACCCCACGCUGCUCGCCUGCGUCUCGGUGCGAGGCAAACCCUCCCAAAGCAAACAGCGGUUGCUGCCGUCUGCACCGACUCAGCUGCGCUGAAGGCAGCGGUCGGAGCGAAGUGCAGCUCGGAGAAGGCUGUGGGGAAGAGCGUGUUGCGUGGCACGUGGCGGGGCAGGAAACGCGCUGCAGCGGGCGAUGCUUUAUCAGGGCAGCCCACCCAGAAGCCGUUCAUCUCCCUGCAGCUGCAGACCUGCGGCUGAGAGCGCUGGGGGCUUUCUCCCAGGGAGGCGAGAGGAACCUGGGCUAUCACGAGGAAACAAGCGCCCGCCCCGUGCCCCCUCUCAGGAAGCAGGGCCCCCUUCCAGCCCGCCGCUCAGCACCGUGAGUCAGCACUGCCGGAGCCCAGACUUGUUUGCAGCAGCAGCGAGGCGGUGCGGGAGGUGUGGGCUGCGGGAGCCCUUCUGCCCAAACGCCAUCCGGGAUGAAAUGGGGCUAACAGGGAGCAAAAGGCUGAACGGUGCUCGUGGACUCGUUCUGCACCGACCUGCCAGUCUGCAGGCCCCAAAAAUACAGGCACGGCCCAAAGGUUUCUAUUCAGGGCCCAGCAGUGGAAUAAGGAACAUGAGCCGUGGGAUAUCCCGUGUCACCGCAGGCUGCUCAGCCUGGAAGGGGCUGGUGGCAAAGGGAGGAAACGUCAGAAACGCCAUGGACUAUUUUAGAUCUGCAACCUCAGUUCUGCAAAGGACAGCCUGCUGAUGUGCCACGCUCAGCGAGCAGCGGGGAGGAACCCCACGGCAGGAAGAGAGGUUUGCAAGUUUCCCUUUCCCAUAGAGCACAUCCCAAACUGCUGCACGACAGCAUGCUGUGCAGUGCUGUGCUGCGUGGUGUCCUGUCAGCCUGCUGGGAGGACACGGAGUGCUCCAGCAGUGGGCAAUGUGGGAGCAGGCUGUGAGCUGCACAGCCCAGCAUACAGCACGGUGUGAGGCUGGAACUCCCAGUGCCCUCAGCACGUCUCCGUGCUGCGUCCCUGGCUGUGCAGCUAGGCCUGGAGGGCCCGGGGCUGUGAGCUCAUGGGUUUCUAUUUAUGCUUUCAUCUGGUUUUGCCUGCUUUGGACGGUUAACGUAACGCACACGCAGGGUGGUGCUUCAAGGAGACAAACAGUUGCUUCAUCUCCCUGUACAGACAGCCCUCUGCCCUUUGCGUUUCGAUUCCCGGUGUCUGUGUGUGUGGAGGUGAUUUGUCCAUAAUUGUUUGCUUUCUCCGGAGUCCUUUGAAGCGCCUGUCUCCCAACCGGUCCCCUCUUAAGAAUAAAUGCUUCCAAGCCGCCAAUAACACGUGAGCCAUGAUUACAGCCCGGCUCCUCGCUGAGGGCCGUGAGGUCACCGAGGCAGCGCAGUGGGAACG